AGUGAACGCUGGCGGUAGGCCUAACACAUGCAAGUCGAACGGCAGCACAGUAAGAGCUUGCUCUUACGGGUGGCGAGUGGCGGACGGGUGAGGAAUACAUCGGAAUCUACUUUUUCGUGGGGGAUAACGUAGGGAAACUUACGCUAAUACCGCAUACGACCUACGGGUGAAAGCAGUGGAUCUUCGGACCUUGCGCGAUUGAAUGAGCCGAUGUCGGAUUAGCUAGUUGGCGGGGUAAAGGCCCACCAAGGCGACGAUCCGUAGCUGGUCUGAGAGGAUGAUCAGCCACACUGGAACUGAGACACGGUCCAGACUCCUACGGGAGGCAGCAGUGGGGAAUAGUGGACAAUGGGCGCAAGCCUGAUCCAGCCAUACCGCGUGGGUGAAGAAGGCCUUCGGGUUGUAAAGCCCUUUUGUUGGGAAAGAAAAGCAGCAGGUUAAUACCCCGCUGUUCUGACGGUACCCAAAGAAUAAGCACCGGCUAACUUCGUG
rnacentral:rRNA from 1 species